GAGUUUGAUCCUGGCUCAGGACGAACGCUGGCGGCGUGCCUAACACAUGCAAGUCGAGCGGAGACAGUGAGUAGCUUGCUAUGAGCUGUUUUAGCGGCGGACGGGUGAGUAACGCGUGAGCAACCUUUCCAGACAGGGGAAUAACACACCGAAAGGUGUACUAAUACCGCAUAAGACCACGGGAUCACAUGGUUCUGGGGUAAAAGAUUUAUCGGUUUGGGUGGGCUCGCGCCCGAUUAGGUAGUUGGUGAGGUAACGGCCCACCAAGCCGACGAUCGGUAGCCGACCUGAGAGGGUGAUCGGCCACAUUGGGACUGAGACACGGCCCAAACUCCUACGGGAGGCAGCAGUGGGGAAUAUUGGGCAAUGGGGGAACCCGUGACCCAGCAACGCCGCGUGGAGGAAGAAGGUUUUCGGUAUCGUAAACUCCUGUCCUUGGAGACGAGUAGAAGACGGUAUCAAGGAGGAAGCCCGGCUAACUACGUGCCAGCAGCCGCCGCAGUAAU
rnacentral:rRNA from 1 species